GCGGGCGUGGUAUACCGGUAAUACGACUCCUUGCCAAGGAGUAAAUAGAGGGUCCGAUUCCCUUCGCCCGCU
rnacentral:tRNA from 1 species